GGUGGUGAGAGAGUGAAGCUGCAACAUGAUCUGAUGGAGCCAAAUUCCAUUCACUCCCACCUCAUACUGAAACUCACAAGAACAAUGAUAAUUCUACCUCUACUAAUCACCAAUGGUCAUCAAGAACCCGCAAUUCCCUCUGAAGAUUCGACACGACGAAAAACCUCGAAAACGCGGUUGAAUUUCAGUACCACCAACACCAUGGAUAGAUUUGGCUCAUGCCUGACAACCAGAUCAUGCUGGCAGCUUCAUUCUCUCACACC
rnacentral:pre_miRNA from 1 species